GACGAACGCUGGCGGCGUGCUUAACACAUGCAAGUCGAACGGAAAGGCCCUGCUUUUGUGGGGUGCUCGAGUGGCGAACGGGUGAGUAACACGUGAGUAACCUGCCCUUGACUGUGGGAUAACUUCAGGAAACUGGGUCUAAUACCGGAUAGGAGCUCCUGCUUCAUGGUGGGGGUUGGAAAGUUUCGGCGGUUGGGGAUGGACUCGCGGCUUAUCAGCUUGUUGGUUGGGUAGUGGCUUACCAAGGCUUUGACGGGUAGCCGGCCUGAGAGGGUGACCGGCCACAUUGGGACUGAGAUACGGCCCAGACCCCUACGGGAGGCAGAAGUGGGGAAUAUUGCACAAUGGGCGGAAGCCUGAUGCAGCCCAGCCGCGUGCGGGAUGACGGCCUUCGGGUUGUAAACCGCUUUCGCCUGUGACGAAGCGUGAGUGACGGUAAUGGGUAAAGAAGCACCGGCUAACUCCGUG
rnacentral:rRNA from 1 species